GGCAAGUCGCGACAACGGACACCACUCCACUCUCUAUAACAAACUCCACGUGGUCCCGAACGCUCCACUGACACUACUACUCUCCGUAACAAACUCCGCGUGGUUCCGAACGGCCCACUACCAGGCAGUUACGAACGUCGCUGUUAAUUAAUUACGCUCUCCUAUCUAUAAAAGAGAUCCUUCAGAUACAUUCUCCUCUA
rnacentral:lncRNA from 1 species